rnacentral:misc_RNA from 1 species
UUAAUUUCUCUAUUCGAAUUCAGACACAAACUUAGAACUGCAUAAAAGCGGCGCCAAAGCGCCGAAGCACGAUUUGCUUCCACAGGUUUGAUGGUUGAAGGUCAAGCGACCAUUCAGUAAUGAUCCCUCCGCAGGUUCACCUACGGAGA